CCGUCCUACGGGACGCAGCAGUGAGGAAUAUUGGUCAAUGGCCGAGAGGCUGAACCAGCCAAGUCGCGUGAGGGAUGACGGCCCUACGGGUUGUAAACCUCUUUUGUCGGGGAGCAAGACCCGCCACGAGUGGCGGAGCGAGAGUACCCGAAGAAAAAGCAUCGGCUAACUCCGUGCCAGCAGCCGCGGUAAUACGGAGGAUGCGAGCGUUAUCCGGAUUUACUGGGUGUAAAGGGAGCGCAGGCGGCGCGUUAAGCCUGGUGUGAAAGCCCGCGGCCCAACCGCGGGACUGCAUUGGGAACUGG
rnacentral:rRNA from 1 species